rnacentral:rRNA from 1 species
UACGUAGGGGCAAGCGUUGUCCGGAUUUAUUGGGCGUAAAGAGCGUGUAGGCGGCUUCACAGGUCCGCUGUGAAAACUCGAGGCUCAACCUCGAGAUGUCGGUGGAAACCGUGUGGCUAGAGUCCGGAAGAGGAGAGUGGAAUUCCCGGUGGUAGCGGUGAAAUGCGCAGAUAAUCGGGAAGAACACCCGUGGCGAAGGCGGCUCUCUGGGACGGUACUGGCGCUGAGACGCGAAGCGUGGGGAGCGAACAGG